GCAUUAAUGGGGUAGUGGUAACCUGGGUCGUUGCCAUAAGCGCACGGAGAAUUGUUCGACCCGCCGGGGGUUCGAUUCCCCCUUAAUGCA